AGGAGGUCAAUUUAGAAGAACUAAUAGAAUAAAGUAGAAUAAAUAGCUAAAUAACGAGCAUUGGGUAAGUGUCCUAAUGUGCAUGGUCAAAUCCAGUGCUUGAAAGGCCGAAGGUGCAUAAGUAGUGUCAGUCAGUCAGUCAGUCAGUCAGUCAGUGGUCACAUAAUGCAGGGUGCACUGCGUCAGGAGGUAUAGUUAACUAAAGGGCAGACACAUUGGAGUUUAGAGUUUUCCUCCCCUGGGUGGAGUUGAAGAGCAAACAUCUGGAAACUUCCAGAAAGAAGGAACGCUGAGAGUUGGACAGCAGGAGAAAGAUCUCACUGAGAGGUUCUGUCGGUUGAGAGGAAACCUGCUCUUCAUCCUCAACAAACAGGGCGGUAAGCUGGUGGAGGUGCUGCUGUUGGAGAGAUGUGAGGUUGUGACGGACGAUGACAGACGACUGGCUGUCAGUAAGUGACGCACACACUCUGAGGUUGCACCCCGGGGCUAACGUUGCACGAGCAGGACAUUUUCUCCAUAAAAUAUGAUUUCACCCGAAUCACUGAUGAA